rnacentral:misc_RNA from 1 species
CUUCGGGCUUAAGGAGAGAGUUGGAUGCCGCCGACAUUAUUGACGAACCAGGAAACUAAUCAGAAACGAUCCUUUCUUUCCCCUUGUAUUUAUUGUUUCAAACACAGGCAAGAGAUAAAUUCCCCAAGAAGUGGCGAACUUUACGGGUUUGAACUACCGUUCCUUUUGCUUAUAGAAAUUCGUUUCUAUCAAUCAAAGCACUGUUUUAAGCUUUGUAUAUCAAAUUCCAACAGAAAUGAAAUGCGGAGUUUCAGAUCCAGCAACCUUAUCCGAAAGAUCUGAAAGAGCUCUCUAUCUGUCAAUAUCUG